rnacentral:rRNA from 1 species
GACGAACGCUGGCGGCGUGCUUAACACAUGCAAGUCGAACGGAAAGGCCCUGCUUUUGUGGGGUGCUCGAGUGGCGAACGGGUGAGUAACACGUGAGUAACCUGCCCUUGACUUUGGGAUAACUUCAGGAAACUGGGGCUAAUACCGGAUAGGAGCUCCUGCUGCAUGGUGGGGGUUGGAAAGUUUCGGCGGUUGGGGAUGGACUCGCGGCUUAUCAGCUUGUUGGUGGGGUAGUGGCUUACCAAGGCUUUGACGGGUAGCCGGCCUGAGAGGGUGACCGGCCACAUUGGGACUGAGAUACGGCCCAGACUCCUACGGGAGGCAGCAGUGGGGAAUAUUGCACAAUGGGCGGAAGCCUGAUGCAGCAACGCCGCGUGCGGGAUGACGGCCUUCGGGUUGUAAACCGCUUUCGCCUGUGACGAAGCGUGAGUGACGGUAAUGGGUAAAGAAGCACCGGCUAACUACGUGCCAGCAGCCGCGGUGAUACGUAGGGUGCGAGCGUUGUCCGGAUUUAUUGGGCGUAAAGGGCUCGUAGGUGGUUGAUCGCGUCGGAAGUGUAAUCUUGGGGCUUAACCCUGAGCGUGCUUUCGAUACGGGUUGACUUGAGGAAGGUAGGGGAAGAAUGGAAUUCCUGGUGGAGCGGUGGAAUGCGCAGAUAUCAGGAGGAACACCAGUGGCGAAGGCGGUUCUCUGGGCCUUUCCUGACGCUGAGGAGCGAAAGCGUGGGGAGCGAACAGGCUUAGAUACCCUGGUAGUCCACGCUGUAAACGGUGGGUACUAGGUGUGGGGUCCAUUCCACGGGUUCCGUGCCGUAGCUAACGCUUUAAGUACCCCGCCUGGGGAGUACGGCCGCAAGGCUAAAACUCAAAGGAAUUGACGGGGCCCCGCACAAGCGGCGGAGCAUGCGGAUUAAUUCGAUGCAACGCGUAGAACCUUACCUGGGUUUGACAUGGAUCGGGAGUGCUCAGAGAUGGGUGUGCCUCUUUUGGGGUCGGUUCACAGGUGGUGCAUGGCUGUCGUCAGCUCGUGUCGUGAGAUGUUGGGUUAAGUCCCGCAACGAGCGCAACCCUUGUUCACUGUUGCCAGCACGUUAUGGUGGGGACUCAGUGGAGACCGCCGGGGUCAACUCGGAGGAAGGUGGGGAUGACGUCAAGUCAUCAUGCCCCUUAUGUCCAGGGCUUCACGCAUGCUACAAUGGCUGGUACAGAGAGUGGCGAGCCUGUGAGGGUGAGCGAAUCUCGGAAAGCCGGUCUCAGUUCGGAUUGGGGUCUGCAACUCGACCUCAUGAAGUCGGAGUCGCUAGUAAUCGCAGAUCAGCAACGCUGCGGUGAAUACGUUCCCGGG